rnacentral:lncRNA from 1 species
CUAAAACAUAAUUUAGCAAGACUUAUAAUUAAAUUUGAAUUGUAGAGAAAUCAAAAAUUUACUAACGUAAUCUGACAAAGCAUAGCUAAGAAAGUCCUACAUUAUGUAGAUUGAGUAGCCUUGUAUGGUGAACUGCUAUAUCCAAGAAGUGUUUUUGAUGCGUCAACACAUUAUUUGUUCUAAUGAAAUUGCUGUUUGCAACAGUAAAGAUUUAUGUACUCUGUGAUUAAAUGAAUAGGGUGAUUGUUUGACAACAAGAUAUGAAGAAACCCUUUGAUUUUGUGGAUACAUUAUUUUCCUGAUGAGAGAGAGGUUGCUAAUUUUAUUCCAUGUAAAAGUUUGUCUUGGAAAACAAAUUUUGUAUCCCGCUCAUUAAUCUCUUUAACGGCAUUGCAUGGACACGGAUUAUAAGAAUCGGAUUUAGAUGAGUAUCAAGUGUCUAACUCGACA